rnacentral:rRNA from 1 species
CCAAUAGCGUAUAUUAAAGUUGCUGCAGUUAAAAAGCUCGUAGUUGAAUUUCGGGAUCAAUAUGUUUGGUCGUGCCUUGGUACGUACUGGCUUAUUGGUUUCUCCCUUCUGACGAACCCUGAUGUCAUUAAUUUGGUGUCAUGGGAAAUCAGGACUGUUACUUUGAAAAAAUUAGAGUGUUUAAAGCAGGCUCACGCUUGAAUACAUUAGCAUGGAAUAAUGCAAUAGGACGUUUGAUUCUAUUUUGUUGGUUUCUAGGAUCGACGUAAUGAUUAAUAGGGAUAGUUGGGGGCAUUAGUAUUCAAUUGUCAGAGGUGAAAUUCUUGGAUUUAUUGAAGACUAACUACUGCGAAAGCAUUUGCCAAGGAUGUUUUCAUUAAUCAAGAACGAAAGUUAGGGGAUCGAAGACGAUCAGAUACCGCCGUAGUCUUAACCAUAAACUAUGCCGACUAGGGAUCGGAUGAUGUUAAUUUUUUAAUGACUCAUUCGGCGCCUUACG